rnacentral:SRP_RNA from 1 species
GCCAGGUAUGGUGGUGCAUACCUGUAGUCCCAGCUACUGGGGAGGCUGAGGUGGGAGAAUUGCUUGAACUCGGGAGGCAGAGGUUGCAGUGAGUUGAGAUCGCGCCACUGCACUCCAGCCUGGGUGACAGAGCGAGACUCCAUCUCAA